rnacentral:rRNA from 1 species
AUGGAAAGACUAUUCAAAGCUUUACAAGAUUGUAUGAAGAAUGGUGUUCUAAAUGAGAUGGAAGGUGCCAUGUUGAUGAUGUUAGAGAUUUGUGAGAGAGUUCCUCUACAGCUUGGUUGUAAUAAUCCUGGCCUGUUAGAACGAGCAAUCAAUUAUUUCUUCAGAAGAUGCCUUAAGAUGUUUGAGUCGUCGCAUGCGAGUCUUAGAAAAUUGGCAUUGGACUCUGUUAAUCGCUACAUUAUAGUAUUACCAAUAUUAUUGCGCAUGUACAUUGAUGACCGCUACCUUGAGGGCCUAUCCUACCUUCUUAAGCAAAAUGGGGCUGGAAUGAGAGAAACCAAAUGGAAGGAGAGGGAAGCUGCUGCUAAGUUUAUAGGCUCUAUAGGAGAGGUUCAUAUGCAUGAAGCACAUCCCCGUCUUCCAGAGGUUAUCAAUUUACUGAUUGGACUUCUUAAAGACGAAGCCCGUGCUGUAUCAACUGCUACUUGCAUGAGUCUACAUCAUUAUAGCAAGUUUAUUGUGCAGAGCCUUGGCCAUCCAAAUGGCUGUUUACAAUUUGAGGAUAUCCUAACAACUUUACAUGAAAGGAUAACAGAUAUUGACUAUGAUGUUGCGAGAGCUGCCAUUUCUGCAUUGGCGGUCUUUGAAGAGGAGGCUGCAACCCUUCAAAAGCUUAUUCAUCAGCUUAGCUCUGAGGAGGACCUGUUUCCACUCCUUUGCUGUUUUACAACUGUUGCAAAGAUAGUGUGCCCUGGGUUUUCUGAGCUGGCUUAUCCUGUGCUGCAUGGUUGUUUAAAUGUUAUCAAAUCUCAGUUAUUCGAAGAGGAUUCCUUACGCAAGACACAAAUCAUUUUCAAGUGUUUGCAUGUGCUGUCACUACUUGCACGAGGAGUUUCUGCUGAUAUAGGAGACUUGAUUACACCAAGCUUCUUGAGAGAGAUUCUUGUGCCAUGCUGCGAGUAUGAAGUAGCUCUUGUUCAAGAAGCUGCUCUGGUCUUGGCAGGGGAUCUUUCUGAGGUGAUUCAAAAUGAAGAGGCAGCCGAGGAGUUGCGUGCAAUUGUGGCCCGCUUCAGUCAGGCGGGGCCUGCUCGGUAG